rnacentral:rRNA from 1 species
GACGAACGCUGGCGGCGUGCCUAAUACAUGCAAGUCGAGCGGGGUUGUCGGAGUGGAGUCCUUCGGGAUGAAGCACCGCCAACCUAGCGGCGGACGGGUGAGUAACGCGUGGGUAACCUGCCCUAAAGCCCGGGAUAACACCGGGAAACUGGUGCUAACACCGGAUACCUUCCGAAGAGGGCAUCCUUUUUGGAAGAAAGGUUAACGCUUUAGGAUGGGCCCGCGUCCCAUUAGCUAGUUGGUGAGGUAACGGCUCACCAAGGCAGUGAUGGGUAGCCGGCCUGAGAGGGUGGACGGCCACACUGGGACUGAGACACGGCCCAGACUCCUACGGGAGGCAGCAGUAGGGAAUAUUGCGCAAUGGGCGAAAGCCUGACGCAGCGACGCCGCGUGGGUGAUGAAGGCCUUCGGGUUGUAAAACCCUGUCCUUGGGGAAGAAGGAAGUGACGGUACCCAAGGAGGAAGCCCCGGCGUAAACUACGUG